rnacentral:rRNA from 1 species
UACAGGGGGGGGCAAGCGUUGUUCGGAAUUACUGGGCGUAAAGGGCUCGUAGGCGGCCAACUAAGUCCGACGUGAAAUCCCAAAGCUUAACUUUGGAACUGCGUCGGAUACUGGAUGGCUUGAAUUCGGGAGAGGGAUGCAGAAUUCCAGGUGUAGCGGUGAAAUGCGUAGAUAUCUGGAGGAAUACCGGUGGCGAAGGCGGCCAACUGGGCCGGACCUGACGCUGAGGCGCGAAGGCGUGGGGAGCGAACGGG